rnacentral:lncRNA from 12 species
GAGCCACAGACGGUUUCCUGAGCUCGAAUAUUCACUGGCGGCUCCUCGGCGCCUGUGCAGUUGUGCGAACAUUUCCGAGAUGAGGGAAUUCGGCUCGUUUGCGUAGGGCCGCGCUCGAGGGUAGCUGAGCACCUGGCGGCCCGGCCCGCCGCGGCUCCUCGCGCCCAGGGCAGCCAGACCGCAGCCUGCUGCCCGGCCCCCCGGACCCCGCCCCCGGCGCUGGCUCUGGCUGGGGCGGCUCGCAAACCAGUGACGCCAGCAUGAGGCAGGCCGGAGGGCAGUGCGGGAAGGAGAACGUGUUCCUUCAGUCAUUCACUCACUUAUUCAGCAUCUGAAUCUGUAUCUGUUGACUCCCUACCUCGGGCCGGCACCGUGUCCUCACUGGAAGCACAGCCGUGAAUGGACCGACCAAACCCCAGCCCUCCUGGAGGUUAUAUUCCAGGCGUGAGAGCGACGUUUAUUUCAUACAACACGCAGUGUCGGCUGGUGACUGGAGCUCCGGGGCAGAACGAAGAGUCCGGGAGUGCGGAGGAGGAGGAGGUAGGCCUGCCAGGUGCAGUUGGCCAGGUGGUGCACUGCCCAAGUCCGGCAGUACAUUCCCAGCUGUCAUCCUAGAGUUAGGCCCUCACAGGGGUGGCUUCCCAGCAGGUGGCAGUCACAUGUCUGAGGAAGGAUCUCCUUGUAAUUUUCCAGGGCCCCGGCCUGGGCUCACAGCAAUGGGGGGGUGGUGGUGGGGUAGUCCUGCCAGGAUGACACAGAGCUGGGGAUGUCACUUCCAGGCAGCCCUCCCCGCUCAGACGGCUCCUCACACAGCACUGCACGUCUCGGCCACCAGCAGACUCGGGACGAGCCAGGGCCUCAGUGUCCUCAGUGCCCAGACAGCGAGAGUGCCCCAGGCAGAGGGAACAGCUCGUGCAAAGGCCCUGAGGCAGAGAGACGGGUGUCUCAGGGACACAAGUGGCCAGUUUGGUGGGAGGCGUGGAGGAGGAGGAUGUCAGGAGGUGGGAGAGGAGGCGUGUCCUGACUCACUGGUCUCAGGCAGGAGUUUGGACUGGAUCCUCAGUGGGUCUGAGGAGUCUCUCCAAGGCGAGUGGUGCAGCGCCCGCUGACUUGUCUCAGGGCGCAGCGCACCGGGACGUCGCUGCGUGAAGGCCGCCGGGCUCACGCCGUGUCCAGCCCGUGGCGGGUGUGCCGUGGCGAAGGCGAGGGUGUAAAUUCUCAGGUAGAGCCCACAGGGGUCCCGUCCACAGCCGGGGUCGGGGCGUUUCCCCUGUGCCGUGAACAGCAGCAGCGGGAAAUGCUCUGGGUCCGGGCUGAGGCCUCCCCCGCGGGGACGUUUGCGCGUUCGCUGGCUGGUAAUGGAAACUGCCCAGCUGCCCUGCUUCCCCCCACAGUGGGGCACUGUCUCUACUCCAGGCCAUGGGCUCUCACGACCUCGGGCUGAUCGUCAGCAUCAAGGAAACAACGUACUUGUGCUCGAGUCCUGAGUCUGAAGAAUCCUGGAGCCAGCAGCGAUGCCCACAGCUGUCCCGGUGGUUCUGGUGUGUGCGUGGGGGGAGGGGGGGCACGAGACCUCGCCGGGGCCCCAGGGCCAGUGUGGACACUGUCUGAAUCCGAUGGGCUCGGAUGGGCCACCUGCCCACACCCGAGGCCGUCCUCGUGGGGGAGGAGGAGCCCCCGCGCUGCUCACACCUGAGUGCCCCGGGCUUGAGCGGACAUGCAGGCCCAACGGCCGCCCUGAGCUGAGAGCAGGGCCCUGGCUGGGCUGCCACAGGGGGACACGACCACAUGGCUCCCGGCCACCAUCUCCAGCCGUGUCUACACGGGGCUGACCUCCGCGGGGACAUGGCUCUGCCGGGACCUGGCUUUGCCCGCAGCCUGAGCCGGGAGCAGCCCUGCCCUCUGCGUCCUGCCGGACUCCCGGUCCUGUGCUUCCCAUCAGGUACGGACUCCCCAGCAGAGAGUUGAGACACGGUGGCCUCUGCAAACCCGGGCGAGGGUCUUGGUGGACAGUUCACGUGUCGACCUGGCUGGGCUGCGUGCCCAGACAUGCGGUCGAUGUUCCUGUGGCUGUUUCUGGAUGAGGCUGCCUGUGACGUCAGUGGAAAUCAGUAAAGCACGUUGCCCCCACCCCCGCCCAAGGGUGGGCCCAAGGGUGGGCGUCCCGAUCAGGGGACGGCCCGGAAGGUGCUGGGGGUGGGAAGGACUCACAGGGGAGACUGGCGCGGCCCCCUGCCUCCGACCCUCUCUGGACGUCUCCCCUGGAGCAUGAUACCUCUCCGCCACCCGUCAGCACUGCGAUCCUUCGUGCCCUUUCUGUCAGCUUCUCCCAGAAGGGACGAGCUCCUCCCUGAAUCACGGGCUGCUGGGAAACGUCUCGAGUCCCACGCGUCCCAGCGCGGGCCCAUCAGGACACCCAGCGCCGAGGGUCCCGCUCACUUCACAGGGAGCACGUCCCUGCAUCCAGGGGCCCAGAGGGCUUUCUCGGGGUCUGAGGGGGGCUGUGAUCUGGUGUCCGGCUGUGCAGGCAGAGAACGUGCUGAAGCUCGCAAUAUUUUUACAAAAACUCCUUCCCAAAAUUUAUGAGCCUGAGCAACACAUUCAUUUUUGUGACACAGGAUGAAAUAAGGCAUACAUUUCCCCCAUUUCUUUUUUAAUUCAUUGCGUGCGUUGUGCAUUCCUCCAGCCUGUCAAAAUGUUUUAAUUCAAGAAUUUGUUUUCAAACCGUGUGUGAUUAGCACGACGGUGGGGGAGGGUGGCCCCUGUGAGAGUAACCGUGGUGAUUAUUCCAAUUUGUCCGUGAGUGGCCGUGGUGGGGACAGGAGAGCGGGACGGAGGGUGGGGCGGGAAGGUGCCGCCCUGGACAGACAGGCUCCCAGCUGCUCUGCUCGCCUGUGUCCACAGACCUGGGCUCAGCGCUGCCCUCGGCUCCAAGGGCUGUUGGGGAGGGGGUGUCACGGGCGGGGGACCUCCUAGAGCCUCCCCAACCUCCUGCGGGAACCUGUCCGCAGCCUGCAGUCCUGGGGCCCCACGAAGGCCUCGGCACGAGGAGCGGGUGCUGGAAGGGCCCCAGGUGUGCCCACCCCAUGUCCCAAGACCCCCAGUCACCCCCAUUCUCAGGCCCCUUCACCUCCCUGGGGGUCGAAGGAGCCCCAAACCGCAGAGCUUUCCCCCAGUGACCUACAGGAGCUCCCACCACAGCCAGCAGAGCUGGCCUCUGGGGAGUGGGGCACCAGGCACAGGAGCCCAGCUCCCCACUGCUCAUCAGGGCUUUGCUGACGGGCAAGUGCAGAGCAAAUGCCCCCUCACUGGUCGGGCCGGAUGCUCUGCCUCCAUAGCCACCCCUGGCUUGGGGGAACGUGCCAUCCUCUGACCAAGACGGCGGCCCAGCCUGGGGAGGGAAGGUCCACCGCGUGCAGGGCUGCCCCGCCCGGACCCAGACGCUGACCAGGCUGCGGGGGCUCAGGGGAGGGCAGCUCAGAGCAGAGGGAGCCCCCCCAAGCGGCAUCCUCCUCUAAAUGCACCCCCUCUAAAUGCCGCCCUGUGCCCUGUGGAUUCUUCAGAGCCCUCCCCCGGCGCCAGCCCACCUGCCCCUCCCGCACCCUGGGAAGAGCUGGCCCCAGGUGACGGCCCCCCGCGGUGACGGCCACUCCACCCCUGACCUCUGGGCAGAAGUAAGUCAGUCGGAGAAGGACAAACAGUGUAUGUUCUCAUUCAUUUGGGGAAUAUAAAUAAUAGUGAAAGGGAAUAUAAGGGAAGGGAGAAGAAAUGUGUGGGAAAUAUCAGAAAGGGAGACAGAACGUAAAGACUGCUAACUCUGGGAAACGAACUGGGGGUGCUGGAAGGGGAGGAGGGCGGGGGGUGGGGGUGAAUGGGUGACGGGCACUGAGGGGGGCACUUGAUGGGAUGAGCACUGGGUGUUAUUCUGUAUGUUGGCAAAUUGAACACCAAUAAAAAAUAAAUUUAUUAUUAAAAAAAUAAAAGA